rnacentral:lncRNA from 1 species
UCAAGCCAUGCCCUUCCCUUUUGCAAGCUCCCGUGGCUCGCGACCCGCAGCCCACCCCUGCACCAGUGGACACUGCGGGAUGGCCUGGCCUCGGCUCUGCAUUUUCACUUCUCUUAGCUCUCAUCUCCUCCACCACAGAGACAGCUCUGUCUGAGUAUCUUUCUGAUACUGUUCUUUAUCCCCCAGGACUGGCCCAGCCCAGGGCGGUGCGUACAGCAGACACUUAAUGUAACACAGUAGCAGCUUUUAAUUUCUCAGGCCAAUGAGAUACAGACAGUCACUGGAAGAACUUAUUAGUUUGAAUUACAAACAACAGAAGUAGAAAACUCCACAAGGAAAAAUCUCAGCUGGUGAAGAAGCUCAGGAGCUCACAGAAGUGUGAUGAAGUAAUCAAACCAUCGCCAUCGGCUAAGGAAACCGAGGGGUGCAGAGCUGAUGUCGCUUGGCCCGCAAGCCACGGAGAGUGGGAGCAAGAGGAGGUUUGGUCAGGCUGCCUCUGCCCCUGUCUUUCUCGGCCCACAGGCUCCAAGCAGGCAGGACCAGACCGCAGCUUCCAGGUGCUGGGAUCCGGGGACCACACCUUCACCUGCUGCUCUCUUGAAGGAAAAACAAAUAUCUGCCUCUGGCAGGUAAAAAAAAAAUAAAAGGAGUGCGUCUCA